CUCACAGAGAUCCGCCUGCCUCUGCCUCCUGAGUUCUGGGAUUAAAGGCGUGCGCCACCACCGCCCGGUGAAAGCAAUCUCUUGAAGCAUCCCGGUGAAACCCUCCCGUGUGGCACUUGGGUACAGGUGGGCUUUCAUUAAGAUCUCUCCUUCAAAACUCUCACCCCAGCUUGGUCCACAGGACCAAUGAGAGGGAAUGCUGUGGUUUCCGGCUCUGGAAACAGGAACUUGAAGGCUAGGUCUGUGGGUCAAGGGUAGGCAGACUUCAAAGAUGACUCAGUGGAAGAACUUGCAAGGGCCAGAUAUUCUAACCUUUUGAAGAUUGAAGGCUCAUGUCUUAUUGUCUCUGGCUGUGCAGAAGGGCAGAAAGAAUGGUGGGCCAUCUGAAUCAGUCAUUUGUCUGGAAAAUUUAUGUUUGGAAUCCCUAUGACAUGGAAGGGUUGCCUCGGGGAUGUUACAGAAGAGUCUAGGCCAAAAUUGCUCAAUAAGUAAAGGGUGAAAGAAGAGUAGACCCACAGAGGAAGUAAUUGGACAAAGACUCAACGUAGCAAUGCGAACCAAAGCUCACAUCCUGAGGCGUGCACACUCCUGUGCUUACCCUUGAAGACCUGUGAAACACCAAGAAGGGGCUCCCAGAGCUCCCUGAUUGCUGGGGCAGAAGCUCAGGUUCCUGAAGAACACACUUCAGAUUCAUCUCAUCAGCUUCUUUCAGAGUUGUCUAAUUAGUCUCUCUCUCUCUCUCUCUCUCUCUCUCUCUCUCUCUCUCUCUCUCUCUCUCUCUCUCUCUCUCUCCCUCCCUCCCUCCCUCUGUGUGUGUGUGAAAUGUACAUUGUAAAUUUGAUCUUCCAUGGUGAAACACAAUUUAAAAAAAAUAGAACAGUAAGAUGACCCACUCUCAUUCCAGCAGGUUAAACAUUUGUACAGUUUUAAUUCUAAUUUCAAAUGCCUUAUUGUAGAAACCUUCUAAAUCUCAUAUCUUUGUUCCUGUCUCUAAUGAACUAUGACUGUGAAAAUUUACUGAUUCAUGCUCUAAAUGUUUUUUUUCCUUUUUAUCUCUUUGGAUUUCACCAAAGGAAACCACAAAGCCCUCUACCCAACAAAUAGCAACUGACUAGAAAAAACAAGACUAAUUAGACUAGGUGCAGAGGAGACUGUGACAACAGGAAUACACAUCACGCUGAAAUAUCUGCCAGCUUUUCCAUUAUCCCUUUGCAUUUCCAUCUCUAGGAUCAAAUCUGUUUCUUAACCCUACACCCUUUCUUUUCCUAGUUCAGAACUUUGUGUUCAACAGGCUAAAUGAACCCCUAAUGUUAAGUACAAUGCCACUCCUAAAGGUCUUCAGAUAAGAAUAAAAUAAGUGAUUGCCUGA